GGGUGGGGCUAAGCCAUGCGAGUCGUACGCCCGGGGUCCGCCGGGCGUGGCGCACGGCUCAGUAACACGUGCCUAACCUACCCUCGGGAGGGGGACAACCCCGGGAAACUGGGGCUAAUCCCCCAUAGGGGAAGGGUGCUGGAAGGCCCCUUCCCCGAAAAGGCUCGGUUGAUCUACCGAAUCCGCCCGAGGAUGGGGGCACGGCCCAUCAUGGUAGUUGGCGGGGUAACGGCCCGCCAAGCCGAAGACGGGUGGGGGCCGUGAGAGCGGGAGCCCCGAGAUGGGCACUGAGACAAGGGCCCAGGCCAUACGGGGUGCAGCAGGCGCGAAAACUCCGCAAUGCGGGAAACCGUGACGGGGCCACCCCGAGUGUCGCCCGAAGAGGCCGACUUUUGCCCGGUGCAAAAAGCCGGGCGAAUAAGCGGGGGGCAAGUCUGGUGUCAGCCGCCGCGGUAAUACCAGCCCCGCGAGUGGUCGGGGUGCUUACUGGGCCUAAAGCGCCCGUAGCCGGCCCGGUAAGUCGCCCCUGAAAUCACUGGGCUCAACCCGUGGGCCGGGGGCGAAACUGCCGGGCUUGGGGGYGGGAGAGGCCGNNGGUACYCCNNNNNYAGGGGCGAAAUCCNAUAAUCCNNNGAGGACCA
rnacentral:rRNA from 1 species